GCCGGCGCGGGCAGCGAAAGCGGGAGGCGGAGGCCGAGGCCGUCUCGGCCGCGUUGGCUGCGGUCGCUGGUACCGCCGCCGUUGGGGCUCUGCCGGAAGGGCCCGGGACGGGAGCGGCGCCGGGCCCUGGCAGAGCGGCCGCGGGGGGCCCCAGCCAGCCUGCGACUAGGGAAGUCGUUGCAGGGCUGUCCCCAUGUUGCGUUUCCCGACCUGUUUCCCAUCCUUCCGGGUGGUGGGGGAGAAGCAGCUGCCGCAGGAGAUCAUCUUCCUGGUCUGGUCACCCAAGCGGGAUCUCAUUGCUUUGGCCAACACCGCGGGCGAGGUUUUACUUCAUCGACUUGCAAGUUUUCAUCGAGUUUGGAGUUUUCCACCAAAUGAAAAUACAGGAAAGGAAGUGACAUGUCUGGCUUGGAGACCAGAUGGCAAACUUUUGGCCUUUGCUCUUGCUGACACCAAGAAAAUAGUCUUGUGUGAUGUAGAAAAACCUGAAAGCUUGCACUCUUUUUCUGUGGAGGCCCCAGUUUCUUGUAUGCAUUGGAUGGAAGUGACUGUUGAGAGCAGUGUUCUAACAUCCUUUUAUAAUUCUGAGGAUGAAUCAAAUCUUCUCUUACCUAAACUUCCUACAUUGCCGAAAAAUUAUAGCAACACCUCAAAAAUAUUUAGCGAAGAAAAUUCUGAUGAAAUCAUUAAGCUUUUGGGAGAUGUCAGGCUUAAUAUUCUUGUCCUUGGAGGAAGCUCUGGUUUUAUUGAGCUUUAUGCUUAUGGAAUGUUCAAAAUUGCUCGAGUCACUGGGAUCGUUGGUGCUUGUCUGGCGUUAUGUCUGUCAAGUGAUUUGAAAUCAUUGUCAGUGGUCACAGAAGUUUCUGCCAGUGGUGCUUCAGAAGUUUCAUAUUUUCAGCUUGAAACCAAUCUAUUGUACUCUUUCUUACCUGAAGUAACUCGAAUGGCCAGAAAGUUUACUCACAUUUCGGCUCUUUUACAGUAUAUAAAUUUGUCACUGACAUGUAUGUGUGAAGCCUGGGAAGAAAUACUGAUGCAGAUGGAUUCUCGUCUUACCAAGUUUGUGCAGGAAAAGAACACAACCACAUCAGUGCAAGAUGAAUUCAUGGACUUGUUGUUGUGGGGGAAAGCAAGUGCUGAACUUCAGACCCUCUUAAUGAAUCAGUUAACAGUAAAGGGCUUAAAGAAGCUUGGCCAGUCUAUAGAGUCAUCAUAUUCCAGUAUACAAAAAUUGGUUAUAAGUCACUUACAAAGCGGCUCAGAGUCUCUAUUAUACCAUUUGAGUGAACUGAAAGGAAUGGCUUCGUGGAAGCAAAAAUAUGAACCUCUUGGACUAGAUGCUGCAGGCAUUGAAGAUGCUAUUACUGCAGUAGGUUCUUUCAUACUCAAGGCAAAUGAACUUCUUCAAGUUAUAGAUAGCAGUAUGAAAAACUUCAAAGCAUUUUUUCGGUGGCUGUAUGUGGCAAUGUUGAGAAUGACAGAAGACCAUGUACUUCCUGAACUGAAUAAGAUGACUCAGAAAGAUAUCACAUUCGUUGCUGAAUUUCUUACUGAACAUUUCAAUGAGGCUCCAGAUCUUUAUAAUCGAAAAGGAAAAUACUUUAACGUUGAAAAAGUUGGUCAGUACUUGAAAGAUGAAGAUGAUGAUCUUGUGUCGCCCCCUAACACAGAGGGAAACCAGUGGUAUGACUUUCUUCAGAACAGCAGCCACCUUAAAGAAAGUCCUUUGCUGUUUCCUUAUUAUCCUCGAAAAUCAUUGCAUUUUGUGAAAAGGCGGAUGGAGAACGUAAUUGAUCAGUGCUUGCAAAAGCCAGCGGAUGUAAUUGGAAAAUCAAUGAAUCAAGCAGUGUGUAUUCCAUUAUAUAAAGAUAGUAGAAGUGAGGACUCCACACGUAGACUAUUCAAAUUCCCUUUUCUGUGGAAUAAUAAAACCUCCAAUCUACAUUAUCUUCUUUUUACUAUUUUAGAAGAUUCACUUUAUAAAAUGUGCAUCUUAAGGAGACAUACUGAUAUUUCCCAAUCUGUAAGUAAUGGACUAAUUGCUGUUAAAUUUGGGAGCUUCACAUAUGCCACAACUGAAAAAGUGAGAAGAAGCACCUACAGUUGUUUAGAUGCCCAGUUCUAUGAUGAUGAAACAGUCACAGUAGUUCUUAAAGACACUGUAGGACGUGAAGGAAGAGACAGACUCUUGGUGCAGUUACCAUUGUCUUCAGUAUACAACAGUGAAGAUUCUGCAGAAUAUCAGUUCACUGGGACUUACUCUGCAAGGCUAGAUGAGCAGCGUAGUGCUAUUCCCACCCGUACCAUGCACUUUGAGAAGCACUGGAGAUUACUGGAAAGUAUGAAAGCGCAGUAUGUUGCUGGGAAUGGUUUUCGAAAGGUGUCCUGUGUGUUAAGCUCCAAUCUCCGUCAUGUGAGAGUAUUUGAAAUGGACAUAGAUGAUGAGUGGGAGCUUGAUGAGUCUUCGGAUGAAGAGGAGGAGGCUGGCAACAAGCCUGUAAAAAUCAAGGAAGAGGUGCUGUCUGAGUCGGAAGCAGAGACCCAGCAAGCUGGGGCUGCCGCCUCAGCUCCAGAGAUGGUUGUUAAAGUUGAAAAACUAGACCCCGAGCUAGACUCAUGAUCUGGCUUGCCUUUGUUUUAUAUGUUCUCAUGUCAGGAAGGACACAGAUGACGAUCAGCGAUGUGUUGGACACUUAAUUUUCUUUACAAAAUAAACAGUGUGAAGUGAGGAAGUGGAGACCACAGAAGCAGGCAAGUCUUGAAGAAUUUUGCUGCAAGAGAGGAGAGAAAAGAGGCUGGGGACAUGACCUCGGAGGCUUUUUUAAAACAGAUGAAUGCUCUGAAGGCAUACUUACAUUACCAGAGGAGUGAUCCACAAGAGAGACAUUGACCAUUCUAGAGGAAGGCAGAAAUAUGUGAAAGU